AGAGUGCAGCCAACUAUUUCAAUUGCCUAUAUAUAUAUAUAUAUAUAUAUAUAUAGGCAAUUGAAAUAGUUGGCUGCACACU